GAUAACGUUGCGUCAGCAACGGCACGCAGGGCGAGCGAAGCGAGUCAUCCUGCACGAUCCACCA
rnacentral:sRNA from 1 species